GGUGGAUGCCUUGGCAGUCAGAGGCGAUGAAAGACGUAGUAACUUGCGAUAAGCCCAGAUUAGGUAGUAACAACCAUUUGAGUCUGGGAUUUCUGAAUGGGGAAACCCACGUGCAUAAGCACGUAUCCUUACCUGAAUACAUAGGGUAAGGAGGCGAACCGGGGGAACUGAAACAUCUAAGUACCCCGAGGAAAAGAAAUCAACCGAGAUUCCGAAAGUAGCGGCGAGCGAAAUUGGACUAGCCCUUAAGCUUUACACGCGUUAGACGAACGGUCUGGAAAGUCCGACGAUACAGGGUGAUAGUCCCGUAGUUGACGACGUGUGUUCAGUGAAAUCGAGUAGGGCGGGACACGUGAUAUCCUGUCUGAAUAUGGGGGGACCAUCCUCCAAGGCUAAAUACUACUGACUGACCGAUAGUGAACCAGUACCGUGAGGGAAAGGCGAAAAGAACCCCUGUGAGGGGAGUGAAAUAGAACCUGAAACCGUGUACGUACAAGCAGUAGGAGCAGGCUUUGUCCUGUGACUGCGUACCUUUUGUAUAAUGGGUCAGCGACUUAUAUUCAGUGGCAAGGUUAACCAUCUAGGGGAGCCGUAGGGAAACCGAGUCUUAACUGGGCGUUCAGUCUCUGGAUAUAGACCCGAAACCAGGUGAUCUAGCCAUGGGCAGGUUGAAGGUUGAGUAACAUCAACUGGAGGACCGAACCGACUAAUGUUGAAAAAUUAGCGGAUGACUUGUGGCUAGGGGUGAAAGGCCAAUCAAACCUGGAGAUAGCUGGUUCUCCCCGAAAGCUAUUUAGGUAGCGCCUCGGACGAAUACUACUGGGGGUAGAGCACUGUUAAGGCUAGGGGGUCAUCCCGACUUACCAACCCUUUGCAAACUCCGAAUACCAGUAAGUACUAUCCGGGAGACACACGGCGGGUGCUAACGUCCG
rnacentral:rRNA from 1 species